UAUGUGGCAAGUAGGACACGCCCACUAAUUGUGAGGCAGCAGAACACACUUGUGUUAAUUUGGUGGCGGUGCUUUAAAAGCUCUCCUCCUCUUCGUUCAGACAUGAAUUUGUGCUGUGCCAUACAUUCAAGGCAUCGGGAAGUAGAGCGGGGGUUGACAGGCAGGUAAGCCGGGCUUUGAGUUCUCUGAACCGAAUAGGGAGUGGGAGCUGACAAGUAAACUUGUUCACAGCUCCAUGCACACAAGAAACCGGCCAGACUUUGGCGCAUCUGCAACGUAGCGGCAAUGAUCUGCAAGCGUGACGUGACUCUGUUUGCUUAGAUCCGCCCUCCUCUCAGUGACCGGAACGUGUUUGAGGCUGCACGCCCUUCUCACCCCGCAAAUAGGGGUUUAAGCUGCUGCUUUGCUUUUAUUGUUUUUAUUGUGAUUUCUGUCCGGGUCCCACCCCCGCCACGGCGGAACCGGUUGGAGCGAACGCCCAGCUCACGGAGACGUCGUUGCUGUGGCAUCUCACCUGACUGUGGACGACUCCCACCAGCUGAUCGGCGGUGGUUGGGCGGCUUACCUGCGCCCCGGAACACUAAUCAUCUUUUUAAUCUUUACUUUUAAUUGUGUGUCUUUUAUUGAUAUCGUCAAUUUUAUUCUUGUUUCAGGAGGUAGGAGGCCGAGGUGGUGGACUGCUGUGUCUGGUGGUGGGACCCAGUGUGCUGUGUGGGUUCCCUCACGUGUGCAGUGAUUCACAAAAGGGUGUUUGCAUUGUCUUUACGCUGUUUUUAGCCACCUCGGUAAGCUCCUCCUCCAGAACAUUUUUAACUGACUUUUAUCAAGGAUUGUUUUACUAAAAGGUUUCUUAACAUUGUUUUUAACUGAAUUCUAAUAAAUUAUAUUUUAAAACAGA